CUGGCGGCAUGCUUUACACAUGCAAGUCGAACGGCAGCACAGGGAGCUUGCUCCCGGGUGGCGAGUGGCGCACGGGUGAGUAAUACAUCGGAACGUGUCCUGUUGUGGGGGAUAACUGCUCGAAAGGGUGGCUAAUACCGCAUGAGACCUGAGGGUGAAAGCGGGGGAUCGCAAGACCUCGCGCAAUUGGAGCGGCCGAUGCCCGAUUAGCUAGUUGGUGAGGUAAAGGCUCACCAAGGCGACGAUCGGUAGCUGGUCUGAGAGGACGACCAGCCACACUGGGACUGAGACACGGCCCAGACUCCUACGGGAGGCAGCAGUGGGGAAUUUUGGACAAUGGGGGCAACCCUGAUCCAGCCAUGCCGCGUGCAGGAUGAAGGCCUUCGGGUUGUAAACUGCUUUUGUCAGGGACGAAAAGGACCGUGUUAAUACCAUGGUCUGCUGACGGUACCUGAAGAAUAAGCACCGGCUAACUACGUG
rnacentral:rRNA from 1 species